UGCUAAGCCCCAUGUGCUUCAAAGAUUUAUCCAGCAUUUGGCAGAUUGAUGCACUAUUGGUCUAUACAAGACUCCCAGCUCACCAAACCUAAAUGCUACCCCUUUCUUCAACAGCCUCCUCCUGGAAAGGACUGAGAGAAAAGACAGCAGGCCCUAAAGGUCAACACGCUUGAAGUCUUGGACUAAGGUACCUUCCGUUGUAAACAUCACUGAGAUCUCCCUGCCUUCUGUUGACCGUGGAGAGCUGAUGUGUCUGGCAGCCAGGAAACAAACAAGGAAGAUUUGUUAGAUUUUUAAACAAGCUCUUCGAAUUUCACCCAGAAAUAACCUGAAAGCCAUUGCACUCCUGAAUGAAGCAUCUUUGUUGCUACAUUGAUUGGAAAAGAAAAAAAAGCAAAGUGGAUUUUGCUGAGAAGUUUCCUGAACCACCAACAAACCCCGUUGCCAACGUAACACAAGAAUGACUGGAGCUGUGCUACUGGGGACCAGAGCCCUGCCAGGGGCAUGGAGUUGCAGCAAAGAGGCAUGGGGCUUCUGCACUGGUGGACCUUUCCUCCUGCAAAUCAUGCUUUCCUUUUGCUUCAUGAGACUGACGGGUGGUUACAGGGAAGACUGGCACCAGCAUCUAUUAUGCCCAUUGCAAGACCCGGUUUUCAGUUGCCGAUAACUUUGCCAAACUUCAACUGUUUGGAUUGAAUUUUUCCAUGCCAGGUGUCUGCCUCAGGCUGGUUCGCUGGGGACACUUACAGCCAAAAUAGUUCAGCUGUUUCCAGGAACAUGGCUAGGGGAAAAUACUGUUUUGUUCAUGUUUAAAAAAAAAAAAAAAAUUAAUAAAUUAAAAAAAAUUCUUGAUGUUUUUCUUAAAACAAACAAAAAACCCCCCCACAAAACUCAAGGGGCCCUAUGCUUUGGAGCUAUUGAAAUUUGCCACGGGAGUGGCCUUGUGCAGGCCUUUGUGCUUUCUUGGGAAAAUAUGCCCUAAUUUGGCAAUUUGAAGUGUAUCCAUUUGAAAAAUCUCAGUCACACAUUUUCAGUGGCGAUUUCUUCGACUUUAGCAGCUAAAAUUUCCAAAGAUCCCAUCGUCACUGAGCAUGAGCCAUCCCCUCACAGCUCCUGUAUGUGACUAGACUGCACGUGUACCAUUCCUAUAAAGUGAGCCGAGCAUGCUUCCUCAAGCAAAGGGCUACAGGGGUGAAGCUGGCCUUUCCCUGUAAUGAAAGCUCCUAGCUCAUCUCGGUCAGGGUGUGCUGGGCACUGAAACUGAGAGCAAAGAGCCUGCCGCCUUCUGCUCUAACGAUCCCCUGGUGGUGCCCAGGCAGUGUGGAGGAGGAAGCUGCCUGACUCAAAUGCAAAGAGGAUGCGAUCUGGACCCCAGGGGGUUGGGGGAGAAGGGAGAGGUGAGUAGGUUGAGAUGAGGACCCUGAUGAGGGAGACUGGGAUUGAUAUCUGG